GUCGAGAAUCUUCCGCAAUGGGCGCAAGCCUGACGGAGCGAUGCCGCGUGAGGGAUGAAGGCCUUCGGGUUGUAAACCUCUGUCGCCCGGGACGAAGCAAGUGACGGUACCGGGAGAGGAAGCUACGGCUAACUACGUGCCAGCAGCCGCGGUAAUACGUAGGUAGCGAGCGUUAUUCGGAUUCACUGGGCGUAAAGGGUCCGCAGGAGGCCUGUCAAGCCGGAUGUGAAAGCCCAAGGCUCAACCUUGGAAGGUCAUCCGGGACUGCCGGGCUCGAGUGCACGAGGGGUGAACGGAAUUCCUGGUGUAGCGGUGGAAUGCGUAGAUAUCAGGAGGAACACCGAUGGCGAAGGCGGUUCACUGGCGUGCAACUGACUCUCAGGGACGAAAGUGUGGGUAGCAAACAGGAUUAGAUACCCUAGUAGUCC
rnacentral:rRNA from 1 species